rnacentral:lncRNA from 1 species
GCUAACUGCCAAACCACCCUUGUAGGAAGCCAAGGAUGUUUGAGGAGCCACAGAACCUUCCCUGUCCGGUGUGGAGAGAGAGCUGAGAGUGAGAAGAGGAUCAGCAGGGUGUGCUUUCUUUCAAUUUACUUAUGAUCUUACCUGGUCCUGGCACACCUUUUUUGUUGUUGUUGUUGUUGUUGUUGUUGUUGUUUUGGUACCGGGAUCAAACUCGGGUCCUUGUGCUUGCACAGCAGGUGGUGAAACCACUGAGCUAAAUCCCCAGCCCUGUUGUUGUUUGUUUUUUGUUACAAGGUCUUGCUAUGUGGUUCAGGCUGGCCUUCAACUCACUAUGUAGCACAGGCUGGACUCAAAUUUGCAGAGAUCCUCCUGUCUCAGCCUCCCAAGUGCUAGGAUUACAGAAAAGAAAACUGAGCCUGGAAGUUUAUCAAGGCAAGAUAGAAACAAUCCAGCCAUGUAACCUCCAGAUGGACACAUGCUUACUUUGGGCAAGAUGGGCAACACUUGCCCUCCUCCCUGAGAGCCUCUCCAUACCCAGGGCAAGCUGGCUGGGAGCGCAUUUUCCCUGGCUGAAUCCUGUCUCCAGCCCAGAGUCCCUCCUGGAGCAGCCAGCACAAUUAUGCCCACUUUCCUCUCUGAAAUGGUUGACCUGCAUUUCUGAGUUGCUGGUAAAAUAAAUUAAAAGUAACAUUUUGCUUUGUUGUUUUCAUUUCUUAUUCCAUUUCCAGCCAUGUGAUGUCUUAUGAAUCCCUUUUUGCUUUUCUUACUCCACCUCAACAGUCAGCACAGUGAGAGAGAGG